rnacentral:misc_RNA from 1 species
UGCGCGUCGGGAACUCGACGGCGACAAGGACGGAGACCUGUUGUGACGAGGGGCAGCGCCGCUGCUCGCGGACGAGUAGGUUUAAGAACAAAGGGAACGAGUUCGCUCGUUCCUCCAUCCUGGACCUCAGCUCAGGCGUGACUACCCGCUGAAUUUAAGCAUAUCAAUAA